rnacentral:tRNA from 1 species
CGGCGCGUAGCGCAGCCUGGUAGCGCGCUUGGUUCGGGACCAAGAAGUCGCUGGUUCAAAUCCAGUCGCGCCGACCA